AGCAGCCGCGGUAAUUCCAGCUCCAAUAGCGUAUAUUAAAGUUGUUGCAGUUAAAAAGCUCGUAGUUGAAUUUCGGGGUCAGCAGGUUGGUCGUGCCAACGGUAUGUACUGGCUUUGCUGAUUCCUCCUUCUUGUAGAACUGUAAUGCCAUUAAUUUGGUGUUGCAGGGAAACAGGACUGUUACUUUGAAAAAAUUAGAGUGUUUAAAGCAGGCUUACGCUUGAAUACAUUAGCAUGGAAUAAUGAAAUAGGACGUUGAUCCUAUUUUGUUGGUUUCUAGGAUUGACGUAAUGAUUAAUAGGGAUAGUUGGGGGCAUUAGUAUUCAAUUGUCAGAGGUGAAAUUCUUGGAUUUAUUGAAGACUAACUACUGCGAAAGCAUUUGCCAAGGAUGUUUUCAUUAAUCAAGAACGAAAGUUAGGGGAUCGAAGACGAUCAGAUACCGUCGUAGUCUUAACCAUAAACUAUGCCGACUAGGGAUCGGAUGAUGUUAAUUUUUAAUGACUCAUUCGGCGCCUUAAC
rnacentral:rRNA from 1 species